rnacentral:rRNA from 1 species
GUCUCAGCGAUGCUCGACUAUAUUGGCCCCAUCGAUGUAAUCAACUUCUGGCUGCUGCAAAGAAGGAGAACAAAAGGUUUCGGGAUUAAUAAGGUAC